UACGGAGGGGGGCUAGCGUUGUUCGGAAUUACUGGGCGUAAAGCGCACGUAGGCGGCUUUGUAAGUUAGAGGUGAAAGCCCGGGGCUCAACCCCGGAACUGCCUUUAAGACUGCAUCGCUUGAACGUCGGAGAGGUGAGUGGAAUUCCGAGUGUAGAGGUGAAAUUCGUAGAUAUUCGGAAGAACACCAGUGGCGAAGGCGGCUCACUGGACGACUGUUGACGCUGAGGUGCGAAAGCGUGGGGAGCAAACAGG
rnacentral:rRNA from 1 species